rnacentral:rRNA from 1 species
UACGAAGGGUGCAAGCGUUGUUCGGAAUUACUGGGCGUAAAGGGCGCGUAGGCGGCCUUCUAAGUCGAACGUGAAAUCCCUGGGCUCAACCCAGGAACUGCGUCCGAUACUGGAAGGCUUGAAUCCGGGAGAGGGAUGCGGAAUUCCAGGUGUAGCGGUGAAAUGCGUAGAUAUCUGGAGGAACACCGGUGGCGAAGGCGGCAUCCUGGACCGGUAUUGACGCUGAGGCGCGAAAGCCAGGGGAGCAAACGGG